rnacentral:tRNA from 1 species
GGGGUUGUGGCUCAGUGGUAGAGCGCUCACCUAGCAUGUGUGAGGCCCUGGGUUCGAUCCGCAGCACCACA